rnacentral:rRNA from 1 species
UACAGAGGGUGCGAGCGUUAAUCGGAAUUACUGGGCGUAAAGCGUGCGUAGACGGUUAUUUAGGUCGGGUGUGAAAGCCCCGGGCUCAACCUGGGAAUUGCAUUCGAGACUGAAUAGCUAGGGUACGGUAGAGGGAAGUGGAAUUUCCGGUGUAGCGGUGAAAUGCGUAGAUAUCGGAAGGAACAUCAGUGGCGAAAGCGACUUCCUGGACCAGUACCGACGUUCAGGCACGAAAGCGUGGGGAGCAAACAGG